rnacentral:lncRNA from 1 species
UGAAACUGGGCAUACGGUUUCUGACCAGACUAUUCACCUACAAACCAGGGCCAGCCAUUUGGUCACCCAGAAAUGCCACAAUAUGGAGUGGAGGUGAAACCGUGGACAUGGAGGAAGUCAUUUUAACAUCAACAGAGAAAUCUGUUUCACAGGAGCAAAUUUACAGUUGCCAUAAACUCUGGCAUGAUGAAAGCUGUCAGAGUGGCCAGUUGCACAGCACAGGACCAGUGCGAUGUUAGAAGGAGCGAGCGGGACAAGCCAGGCAUCAGGAGAUACUGCAGAGCACUCCAAGGGGUCUGUGUGUGUCCUGAGAGGCAGAUGCCAUCCUGUGGAACUGAGCAUAGAAGCAAAAAUUACGGACCACCGCUACAGACUGAUUCCCUCAAGUGGCCAGAACAGAGAACACAGGCCGAGCUUCCAGCUGCUGGGCUCCAAAUUGCGUGAAGUAGAUGGUGGUGACUGAAAAUGAGGAGAACUGCACGUUUUGGAUGCAGCCAGUGAGACACUUCUAUCAAAUCUCUGCUCGCUUACAAAAAGGAUACAAAGUCAAAGCAUACAGAAAUCAAGAGUGGAGGCAGUGAAAACAUUUGGAACGAAUGGAUGAAAACCUUCAGUCUCAGAUGGCUAUCUUUGAUCCAAGUGGCCCAGCUUCUUCAGCAUUUGGAACUUUCCAUUGCAUAAACCAGAAGUGGAAACAGAUUCUACUUUUCUUGAGACGAGCAUACAUGAAGUAUCUCCAUUGACUUACUGGGGAAAGUCCAGAUUUAAGUCAUUUUUGACAAGAGUAGAAAUUUGGCCCAACUUGGGCAGAAUCAAACCCAUGAGCACACAGAUUUCUAAUUUUUUUUCCCCCUAGUUUCACCCUGAGCUUUACUUUGAUUUCAAAGCUCUCACUGUGUCAUUGUAAACAUUCGGUCUUUAAAAUACUGCACUGCUCCAAAGUUAUCUGCAUGUGAGUUUAUUUUACAUUAAGUACUCAAAAUAUCUGAACAUAAAAUGCCAACAGAAACAACAAAAAUAUAAACAAAUCACUGCCUUCAGCAGAAACACUUUAAUUCAGAAUGUAAUAAAGGCAGUCGAGGUUUAAAACACUUAUGCCAGAGUGUAAACUGAAGGAGUUAGUAACUUUUUUCCCCCUGUAUGCAGUUCUGCUACUGCAGCCAAAAUAUUCUCACAGGUUGUUUAAAAAAGAAAAAAGGGAAAG